UACGAAAGGGCACUCUAAUGAGACUGCCGGUGACAAACCGGAGGAAGGUGGGGAUGACGUCAAGUCCUCAUGGCCCUUAUAGGUGGGGCUACACACGUCAUACAAUGGCUGGUACAAAGGGUUGCCAACCCGCAGGGGGAGCCAAUCCCAUAAAGCCAGUCGUAGUCCGGAUCGCAGUCUGCAACUCGACUGCGUGAAGUCGGAAUCGCUAGUAAUCGUGGAUCAGCAUGUCACGGUGAAUACGUUCCCGGGUCUU
rnacentral:rRNA from 1 species